AGUUCUAACAUACCACAACAUGUCAGAGAAACAAAGGAAUUGUCGAGGUAACUGGAUGGCUCUGAGAGUAAAGUAUCUGAGGAUCUGAGGUAUAGUCUCACUACACACAGAAGAUGGGCCCAGUGAUGCAUGGAGGUCAUCCCAGCACUGGCAGGAACAGGGUCUGGAAAUCCUGCCUCUAUAUCUUCAUCCAGAGAUUUGCUUCUGCCAUCUUUAUUUAGUCAAAGAAAUUAUUAUGGAACCUCUACCUUCAUGUCACCUUUUAUGUGCAAAAAAAAAAGCAACAAUAAGAAUAACGACAAAAUUAAAAACAACAAACAAACAAACAAAAAAACCUCUCCUCUCUGAUAUAAAUUGAAAAAAAUCAUGAGAGGUAAAUUACAUAGUAUGAGGUACAAAUGACAUCCAGUCCAUCAAUUUGUCAGUUUAGAUAAAGCACUGAACCAUC